GCCUGAUUCCGAACCUUUAUCAACUCUUCUUCUGCGUGGCCUCGCUCAGUGAGUGCAGCUGCUUUGACUUGGCUCAGCUCCUCCUCCAGGGCUAUCCUGAUGGCCUCCAGCCUUUGGACUCUGUCUUGCAUAGAACGUUCACUGGCCUCCAUGUGCUGUGUCAAGUGAUCCACCUCUUUUAAGCGAAGCGAUUCCAUGUCUUCAAGACUUUGUUUAAAUCUUCUUUUUUCCAUUUCCA
rnacentral:lncRNA from 1 species